rnacentral:rRNA from 1 species
AGAAUCAACGCUGGCGGCGUGCCUAACACAUGCAAGUCGAACGAGAAAGUGGAGCAAUCCAUGAGUAAAGUGGCGCACGGGUGAGUAACACGUGACUAACCUACCCUUGAGUGGGGGAUAACCUAGAGAAAUCUGGGCUAAUAUCGCAUAAUACCUUCGGGUCAAAGGAGCAAUUCGCUUAAGGAGGGGGUCGCGGCCGAUUAGUUAGUUGGCGGGGUAAUGGCCCACCAGACUGUGAUCGGUA